rnacentral:tRNA from 1 species
GGGGGCAUAGCUCAGUUGGGAGAGCGUCUGAUUUGCAUUCAGAAGGUCGUCGGUUCGAGCCCGUCUGCCUCCACCA